rnacentral:lncRNA from 1 species
CCGGUGAUGGCCACGAUUCCACUCCACUACUCUUCACAACAAACUCCUGACCCCGAGCGGCCCACUGCCAAACGGUUACAAACAUCGCUAUCAGUCUGUUGCACCCUUCGCCUAUAAAAGGGGGACCCCAGAUACGUUAUUCUCUAAGCUCUAAUUUCUAUCCCAAAACUCUGCUAAAAUUUUUGUUCGAGUACUCCAUUCUUGUUGAGG